AAGGUGGGCGGGGCGACGCUCCACAAUCACGUCUGACUUCCUGUCCCUCUACAAUUCUUUGUGUCAGGGGUCACCAGACUUUAAAGGCGUCGCGUGGCUCUGCUGCCGACUCUGUAGCGCCGUGACCUGUACCGAGUAGUAGGGAGGACGCCGGGGGACCCAGGAGCCUCAGCAAUGAGACAGUGGUUUACCCUGUGACGUCACUUCUCUGACGGAAGAGUUGUUGAUUACAAGUUUCUUGGCUUUUUUAUUCUGAGGACUCAAAUCUGGCUUCGGAGCUCCGUGUAUUACAGACCAGAGACCAUGAUUCUCUGACUCCUUUUUUUCCAGUUUCAUUGAGAAAAAAUUGAUACACAUGACUUUAUAAAUUUAAGGUAGAGGCCUCAGUGAGUGAGGAUGCCCUCAUCGAUCAUUGUCUUCCCACCAUCUACUACAUCUUAAACACUGUUGGAGGAACUGCUUGGGUGUGGAUGUAAACAAUGGACAGCAAUACUGAAAGUCUUGCUUUCUUGGAAUUAACAGCAAUGCUUCCCCAUAGAGAUAAAGGUGUAUUGACAUCUUGGGGGGCACCUCAUUCCACGUUGGCGGUGGACAGCUUGUCUGGAGCAGGCCUCUCAUGUGCAUCCCGCCUGAUCCAGUGCCCUGUCCCUACAGACCUCCUUAUCUGCCUCUCACACGCCAGACAGUAUCCCCUGCCCUAAACCCACCCAGGGCCAGGAACCAGAUGACUGAGGACCAUCCCCAGGCCCCAGAGGCUGCUGGGAUUGUUCAAAGCAGCCAGUCCUGAGCUGCUCACUCUGCCCUGACUCACAUUUCCUGUGGGACCCAAAUGAAGGCCGUGGCCUGGGUUUGUGUCCCAUUCCUGAUUCUCCCUCCUGAGCAACCCUGAUGCAGCCCCUAUGACCCUGUCUGGCAUGGUGUGCCCCCUUGUCUUGGGAAAUGUAAGUAAAAAACUUCUUUCAGUG
rnacentral:lncRNA from 1 species